rnacentral:tRNA from 1 species
GCAGUGGUAUCGAAGUGGUCAUAACGAGCACGAUUGGAAAUCGUGUGGCCGUCAAAAGCGGCCCGAGGGUUCGAAUCCCUCCCACUGCGCCA